rnacentral:rRNA from 1 species
UACGUAGGGGGCAAGCGUUGUUCGGAAUUACUGGGCGUAAAGGGCGCGUAGGCGGCAUGGCAAGUCGGGAGUGAAAGGCCUGGGCUCAACCGAGGAACUGCUUUCGAGACUGCCAAGCUAGAGUGCGGAAGGGGCAUCUGGAAUUCCCAGUGUAGCGGUGAAAUGCGUAGAUAUUGGGAAGAACACCUGAGGCGAAGGCGGGAUGCUGGGCCGACACUGACGCUGAGGCGCGAAAGCCAGGGGAGCAAACGGG